rnacentral:rRNA from 1 species
GACGAACCGUGCGAACGUUAUUCGGAAUCACUGGCGUUAAAGGGCGCGUAGGCGGGCGACCAAGUCAGGGGUGAAAUCGUUCGGCCCAACCGGACAAGGGCCCCUGAUACUGGUUGUCUCGAGGGAGGUAGGGGUCGAUGGAACUUCCGGUGGAGCGGUGAAAUGCGUAGAUAUCGGAAGGAACGCCGGUGGCGAAAGCGAUCGACUGGACCUCUUCUGACGCUGAGGCGCGAAGGCGUGGGGAGCGAACGGG